GGCCGGGUGUGGGUCGCGCGCUUCAGCGCCAUCCAUUUUCGGGGCUAGUUGAUUCGGCGGGUGAGUUGUUACACACUCCUUAGCGGAUUUCGACUUCCAUGACCACCGUCCUGCUGUCUUAAUCGACCAACACCCUUUGUGGGUUCUAGGUUAGCGCGCAGUUGGGCACCGUAACCCGGCUUCCGGUUCAUCCCGCAUCGCCGGUUCUGCUUACCAAAAAUGGCCCACUUGGAGCACCCGAUUCCGUGGCGCGGCUCACCGGAGCAGCCGCACCAUCCUACCUAUUUAAAGUUUGAGAAUAGGUCGAGGGCGUUGCGCCCCCGAUGCCUCUAAUCAUUGGCUUUACCUGAUAGAACUCGUAAUGGGCUCCAGCUAUCCUGAGGGAAACUUCGGAGGGAACCAGCUACUAGAUGGUUCGAUUAGUCUUUCGCCCCUAUACCCAAGUCAGACGAACGAUUUGCAC